rnacentral:rRNA from 1 species
UACGUAGGGGGCCAGCGUUGUUCGGAAUUACUGGGUGUAAAGGGUUCGUAGGCGGUGUGGCAAGUUGGGAGUGAAAUCUCUGGGCUCAAUCCAGAGACGGCUUCCAAAACUGCCGUGCUUGAGUGUGGGAGAGGCUCGUGGAAUUGCAGGUGUAGCGGUGAAAUGCGUAGAUAUCUGCAGGAACACCCGUGGCGAAAGCGGCGAGCUGGACCACUACUGACGCUGAAGAACGAAAGCUAGGGGAGCAAACAGG